AGUAAUCUUAUCCUUUGAAUAUAGUAAUUUAGGAUUUUGUAUUAAAGAUAUGUACGAUGGGUCAAUUGCUACUUUCCACCCUUUUGACCCGUUCCCUCUUUAGCUAAUAUUUUCAAAAAAAAAUAACCCACUCGACCUCUAUAUCAUGUUUCAUUCCUAAUCAUCAUGUUAAGUUCAAGUUUUCUUGUCUUUGGUGAUGAGGUGAAAUACCCAUUGCGUUGAAGCAUACUUAUCAUGUAUAAAUCACUUGUAUAUCCUCAAACAUAGGCCUAAACCAUCAUUGUUUUGCUUCGUAUUAUCAUCCAAAUGAAUUACUUAAAUAAGGCACUUGACACUUUCAAUACGGCAGUUGUCUCCCCUUAUAUCAUGUUAUGUUAUGUUCACAUCUCUUACAAGUUACCCUGUUGGAAAGCUUGAUCAUGUUCAAGUCUUUCUUAUCUAUGGAAGGGGACCUGGGACAACAAGCAUGGCUAUGGCUAUGGUGCCAAUGCUUUUGCCCGAUCAAAGGAUUGGAUACAUUAUGUAACAACCAGGUGCACACACACCCAGUUUCCCCUGUUUACACAACUCAGGGAUCUUAGUGUGUUGUCAUGGAUAUUGUUGUGUCGUUUCUUUUAAUAGAGUACAAGAAUGGGGAUAAGAUUGGAAGGAUGGGGAAACGUUGACAUGAUUAUCAUGUGGAUUGCAUCAAGAAGUGGCCAUUGAUAAAGAGAUUAUGUCUAGUAUGCAAAACCAAAUGCUCAAGUUAAGAACAAAGUCAACAAUUUGCUUGCUUUACAAGGUGAAAAUGCCAAAUAUGAAUAUCAUUCCAAACACAUUCACAUGUACCAUCAAUUUCUUCUACCUUAUUGGUAUGAUCUUAUGGUUGGCAUGCAGUGAACCUCAAAGUUUCAAGAAGGUAGACUAAAGGAUAAUACAAGUUUUAAGAAGAUAGAUUAAAGAAUGGUACUUUUGAUUGUAUUGUUGUUUUAUUUUGUGUACACUUAAUAUAUAUUAGCUUUGUUUGUCACGUUGUUCAUAUAGUUUUGUGUAAUCUGACUCUAUAUUA